AUUUAAAGAAAGCGUAAUAGCUCACUGGUCGAGUCGGCCUGCGCGGAAGAUGUAACGGGGCUAAACCAUGCACCGAAGCUGCGGCAGCGAACGUAUCACCCAAGACAACUUUACGGAGUUGACGAUUGACGGAGCGAAGCGACGUCAAAGCGUUCAUUAAAGUCGAGUUGGCUUAGGGAUACGUUCGUUGGGUAGGGGAGCGUUCUGUAAGCCUGUGAAGGUGUGUCGUGAGGCAUGCUGGAGGUAUCAGAAGUGCGAAUGCUGACAUAAGUAACGAUAAAGCGG
rnacentral:rRNA from 1 species